ACUAGCCGCGGGACCGGCGGGCAGCGCCGGGCGUAAGUGGCCUCUUCUGCGAGGGAGGCCCGGGCGCCGCCUUUCCUCCAGCCGGGCGCAUUCAGGGGUCGCUUGCUCCGAUGACGAGCAGAACUAGGGCGGGGGUCGGAGGGUCAGAUCCCCGCUUUGGAAUGGAAAGCUCGCUUGGGGUUGCUGCACAUGUGGAGAAGGAGCCAGGACCUUUCCAGUCCCAUCCACGAUGUGACCUAAUGGUGUGGCCUUGAAUGUGUAUUUUUGCAAAAGAAAUGCUUCAGGGGGACUCGGAUGACGUGGGUCAGCUGGACCCAGGAUGUUGCCUUCGCUACGGUUGUCAUCUUCAGGGGUUGGACAUGAUUCUGCAGGAGUACCUUAUGCACAACAUCAGGGUUACGUGGAGACACUGGAAGGGCUUCCGGACACACAAACAUCACUGUAUCGUGACAUAUCACUAAAUCUAUUUGCUCAGACUGUGAAACUUUGCAGUAUCUAGGGAAUGAACAGAGAGAUGAUUCCAACAUUCAGAAAGGUUGGAGGGGAAGCAGUUUGGGUUGGUGUGGCAGCAACAGUUUUAGGAGUUCUGCCGUAGCAGCAGCAACUUCCAGAACAUUGCAAGGGAGUCUCUCUUGGACUGUGUGGUAUACCACAGUUGUGAUGGGCCAGUAUUGCCUAAGAAGGUUGUUGUUUUGAAACCCUGCCCCAUCAACAUUUCCUGCACGUGGAAAACUUUGCAUUUCAAUAAGGCUAGGCUAGGCGCCUUUUCCCUGUUCUGUUAGAUUCUGUCUUCUUUUAAAUAAAUAGAUUUCCUCUUGCAGGGAAAGUUAGAGGUGGGAAUGUUGUGAAACCAGUGCUUUCCCUGCCUCCCCCCACGUUCGGAGGUGUUCUUGGCCCAUGGGAACCCUCCUUUUCCUCGAUGUUUGGAAUCUGCUCUCCUUGUGACCCACAUAGACCAUAUAUGCCUGCUGUCGAUCAGAUGCACUUUUUGAAAUAUUUUCUGAUCCCAUUAUGCUUCAGGAAUUCAUUUCUUAUUCUCAAAAAGAAUGUCGCCUUUUAAAGAAGAAUCACAAAGUUUGAUUGUAUCUGCCAAGCAGUGUUAGGGGGGAAAGAAGGGUUUGUAAGUAUUUUUGUAAUUUUUGGAAAAGGGAAGGAGUCCUCUUGAUUAUCAUGUGUUGUUGUUUUUGGAACGUGUUGAAUUGAAACAAAACGAAAAAAAAGCAAUAUGCUGAGAACCAGCCUCUCUCAAGUAUGCAGGUCAGUAGAUUGAGAGUUUCGUAUAUUUAUUUAUACACUAUGAGGGAAUAAUGAUGGCCAGUGCUGAGAGCCAUGCUGAAAAUACAAGCCAGAGGGGCCCAGCUGAAUGUCCGUGUUUGAGUUGCCUGUAAUUAAGAUGCUUUGCAUUUAAUGAAUACAGUGAAUGCCAAACUACA